rnacentral:rRNA from 1 species
UUACCGAGUCUAAACAACUCAUCAACCCUGUGAACAUACCUAAAACGUUGCUUCGGCGGGAACAGACGGCCCCGUAAAACGGGCCGCCCCCGCCAGAGGACCCCUAACUCUGUUGCUAUAUGUAUCUUCUGAGUAAACAAGCAAAUAAAUUAAAACUUUCAACAACGGAUCUCUUGGCUCUGGCAUCGAUGAAGAACGCAGCGAAAUGCGAUAAGUAAUGUGAAUUGCAGAAUUCAGUGAAUCAUCGAAUCUUUGAACGCACAUUGCGCCCGCCAGUAUUCUGGCGGGCAUGCCUGUUCGAGCGUCAUUACAACCCUCAGGCCCCCGGGCCUGGCGUUGGGGAUCGGCGAGGCGCCCCCUGUGGGCACGCGCCGUCCCCCAAAUACAGUGGCGGUCCCGCCGCAGCUUCCAUUGCGUAGUAGCUAACACCUCGCAACUGGAGAGCGGCGCGGCCAUGCCGUAAAACACCCAACUUCUGAAUGUUGACCUCGAAUCAGGUAGGAAUACCCGCUGAACUUAAGCAUAUCAAUAA